rnacentral:rRNA from 1 species
GCCAUUGCUAUCGGGGUCCGAUUUAGCCAUGCUAGUCGCACGGGUUCAGACCCGUGGCGAACAGCUCAGUAACACGUGGCCAAGCUACCCUGUGGACACGGACAACCUCGGGAAACUGAGGCUAAUCCGCGAUACCGCUCCCAGGCUGGAGUGCCGGGAGCGCCAAACGCUCCGGCGCCACAGGAUGCGGCUGCGGCCGAUUAGGUAGACGGUGGGGUAACGGCCCACCGUGCCGAUAAUCGGUACGGGUGGUGAGAGCCAGAGCCCGGAGAUGGAAUCUGAGACAAGAUUCCAGGCCCUACGGGGCGCAGCAGGCGCGAAACCUUUACACUGCACGACAGUGCGAUAAGGGGACCCCGAGUGCGAGGGCAUACAGUCCUCGCUUUUGUGUACCGUAGGGAGGUACACGAAUAAGGGCUGGGCAAGACCGGUGCCAGCCGCCGCGGUAAUACCGGCAGCUCAAGUGAUGGCCGCUGUUAUUGGGCCUAAAGCGUCCGUAGCCG